rnacentral:rRNA from 1 species
GAUGAACGCUAGCUACAGGCUUAACACAUGCAAGUCGAGGGGCAGCAUGAAGUUUGCUUGCAAACUUUGAUGGCGACCGGCGCACGGGUGAGUAACGCGUAUCCAACCUUCCCCUUACUAGGGAAUAGCCCGGCGAAAGUCGGAUUAAUGCCCUAUGUUCUCCUUUGCGGGCAUCUAACGAGGAGCAAAGAUUCAUCGGUAAGGGAUGGGGAUGCGUCUGAUUAGGUUGCAGGCGGGGUAACGGCCCACCUGGCCGACGAUCAGUAGGGGUUCUGAGAGGAAGGUCCCCCACAUUGGAACUGAGACACGGUCCAAACUCC